UCUUGGUUUUCGCACCAUAACGUUAGUAUAAGUAAAUAGAAAUCUAUGAAAUUUAAACACAAGGUUUAUGACCAUAAAAGGAAGGUUGGUAUUGAUUUUGGGAGUUUUGGUCCCAACAGAAUAAGGGGCCCAAAGGGUCCAAAAUUAAACUUUGUUUGAUUUCAUCAAAAUUGAAUAAUUGGGGUUCUUUGAUAUGCCGAAUCUAACUAUGUAUGUAGAUUCUUAAUUUUUGGUCCCGUUUUCAAAUUGGUCUACAUUAAGGUCCACAGG
rnacentral:lncRNA from 1 species